rnacentral:tRNA from 1 species
CAAUUGGUGCUCUGGCUGGUUAGAGCAAAGGACUGAAAAUCCUUGUGUCAGUGGUUCGAAUCCACAUCCACUUGC